UUGUUGACCCGGUCGUAAGGGAUCGAAAAUGAGUAGAGAAGUCAUCAUGGAAAGAGACAAGAAAAGCUGUAUGAAUAUCUUAGGUGCCCGUACCGCAAACCGACACAGGUAGAUAGGAAGAAGAUUCUAAGGCCAACGGGAGAAGGGUUGUUAAGGAACUCGGCAAGUUGACCCCGUAACUUAGGGAUAAGGGGUGCUCAAGUGAUUGAGCCGCAGAGAAUAGGCCCAGGCGACUGUUUAGCAAAAACACAGGUCUCUGCUAAAUCGAAAGAUGACGUAUAGGGGCUGACACCUGCCCGGUACCGGAAGGUUAAGAGGAGAUGUGAGAGCAUUGAAUUGAAGCCCCGGUAAACGGCGGCCGUAACAAUAACGGUCCUAAGGUAGCGAAAUUCCUUGUCAGGUAAGUUCUGACCCGCACGAAAGGUGUAACGAUCUGGGCACUGUCUCAACAACCCGCCCGGCGAAAUUGUAGUACCGGUGAAGAUGCCGGUUACCCGCGACUAGACGGAAAGACCCCAUGGAGCUUUACUGUAGCCUAAUAUUGGAUUUCGGUAUUUCACGUACAGGAUAGGUGGGAGACUGGGAAGCACAGGCGUCAGCUUGUGUGGAGUCGACCUUGGGAUACCACUCUUGGAGUGCUGGAAUUCUAACCUGCGGCUUUGAAGCAAGUCGGGGGACAUUGUUAGGUGGGCAGUUUGACUGGGGCGGUCGCCUCCUAAAGAGUAACGGAGGCGCUCAAAGGUUCGCUCUGCAUGGAUGGAAACCAUGCGUCAGAGUGUAAACGCAAAAGCGAGCCUAACUGCGAGAAUGACGGUUCGAGCAGUAACGAAAGUUGGAGUUAGUGAUCCGGCGGUAUGUGAAUGGAAAUGCCGUCGCUCAACGGAUAAAAGCUACCCUGGGGAUAACAGGCUGAUCUCCCCCAAGAGUCCACAUCGACGGGGAGGUUUGGCACCUCGAUGUCGGCUCAUCGCAUCCUGGGGCUGAAUUCGGUCCCAAGGGUUUGGCUGUUCGCCAAUUAAAGCGGUACGCGAGCUGGGUUCAGAACGUCGUGAGACAGUUCGGUCCCUAUCUGUCGUGGGCGUAGGAUAUUUGCAAGGAGCUGUCCCUAGUACGAGAGGACCGGGAUGGACGCACCUCUGGUGCACCAGUUGUCACGCCAGUGGCACAGCUGGGCAGCUAUGUGCGGAACGGAUAAACGCUGAAGGCAUCUAAGCGUGAAGCCGCCCUUAAGAUAAGAUAUCCCUUCUGUUUACAGAGUAAGACCCCUUGAAGACUACAAGGUUGAUAGGCUCAAAGUGUAAGCACGGUGACGUGUUUAGCUAGCGAGUACUAAUCGGUCGAGGGCUUAACCU
rnacentral:rRNA from 1 species